AGCAGCCGCGGUAAUUCCAGCUCCAAUAGCGUAUAUUAAAGUUGUUGCAGUUAAAAAGCUUGUAGUUGAAUUUCGGGAUCAAUUAAUCGGUCGUACCUAUGGUACGUACUGAUUUUAUUGGUUUCUCCCUUCUGACGAACCAUGAUGUCAUUAAUUUGGUGUCGUGGAGAAUCAGGACUGUUACUUUGAAAAAAUUAGAGUGUUUAAAGCUGAAUACAUUAGCAUGGAAUAAUGAAAUAGGGCGUUUGAUCCUAUUUUGUUGGUUUCUAAGAUCGACGUAAUGAUUAAUAGGGAUAGUUGGGGGCAUUAGUAUUCAAUUGUCAGAGGUGAAAUUCUUGGAUUUAUUGAAGACUAACUACAGCGAAAGCAUUUGCCAAGGAUGUUUUC
rnacentral:rRNA from 1 species